GGAAGUUUCCUUCUCCCUGUGGUCUUUCUCCAAUUCCACUUGCAGCCUUCCCCAAAGGACCUGUCUUGAGACAAAGUCAGAAAUAGCUUCCCUGGGGACUAGGAAUGUCUGCACUGCUUCCCAACUGCUUUCUCUACGCCUGUAUUUCACUUGGCUCUCUAAAUUUAUCUCAGCUGCAGUGUGUCUGGAAUCUAUUCCUUCUGGUGGAUUCGUAGUCUUGCUGACUUCAGGAGUGAAGCCGCAUACCCUCGCAGUGAGUGUCACAGCUCUUAAAGGUGGCGUGUCCAGAGUUAUUUGUUCCUCCCAGUGGGUUCAUGGUCUCACUGACUUCAGGAGUGAAGCCGCACACCCUCACAGUGAGUGUUACAGCUCUUAAAGGUAGUGCGUCUGGAGUUGUUUGUUCCUCCCAGUGGGUUCAUGGUCUCACUGACUUCAGGAAUGAAGCUGCAGACCCUCGCGCUGAGUGUUACAGCUCAUAAAGGUAGCACAAACCCAAAGAGUGAGCAGCAGCAAGAUUUAUUGUGAAGAACAAAAGAAUAAAGCUUCCACAGCAUGGAAAGGGACCUGAGCGAGUUGUCACUGUUGCCUGGGGUGGUCAGCUUUUAUUCCCUUAUUUGGCCCCACCCACGUCCUGCUGAUUGGUCCAUUUUACAGAGUGCUGAUUGGUCCAUUUUACAAAGUGCUGAUUGGUCCAUUUUACAGACUGCUGAUUGGUACAUUUACAAUCCUUUAGCUAGACAGAGAGC
rnacentral:lncRNA from 10 species